rnacentral:rRNA from 1 species
UACGUAGGGGGCAAGCGUUGUCCGGAUUUAUUGGGCGUAAAGAGCGUGUAGGCGGCCACACAGGUCUGCUGUGAAAACUCGAGGCUCAACCUCGAGCUGUCGGUGGAAACCGUGUGGCUAGAGUCCGGAAGAGGAGAGUGGAAUUCCCGGUGUAGCGGUGAAAUGCGCAGAUAUCGGGAAGAACACCCGUGGCGAAGGCGGCUCUCUGGGACGGUACUGACGCUGAGACGCGAAAAGCGUGGGGAGCAAACAGG